CUUUUUUUUUACAUUUCUUAUUUUUUUUAAGAUCAGUUAUCAUUCGAGUGUUGUAUUAUACAUUUUAUUUUGUUCAGUUAAUGCUUACUGCUUUAUUUUACUUAUGUAUUCAUGAUGUUUUUUAUUUUUUUAUUUUGCUGUGGGAUACAAAUGUAUGUAUUUAUAACCUCCAUAUGGGAAUGGGGCCCUUUUCCUUUUUAAAAUUUAAAAUGGAAACUGUUUUUAGUUUUAGUUUUAUUUAUUUAUUUGGAAAGGGACCAUAUAUAAUAUUUAACAUAAACGUUACUGCACUGUACCAGAUUUAACCAGCUAACUUUCAUCCACAUUGAGACAUGUGCUUUGCUGACUGGACUUCACCAAAAUUACUAUUAUUUUACCCACUUUGAUUGUAAAAGUUGACAGAGGAAAAGGUUAUUUGAGGUCUGUUCUUGAGUGUGCAUUAUGUUAACACAUGACUGGUUCUCAUGAAGUAACAUCUUUCGUCUGCAGUUAAAUGUUAUUUUUUAUUUACACAUCUUUGUGCAAUUAAUCUGCUAGUUUUCAUGGGAAAUUACAUAUGAUGCCCUCACCAAAUAACACUUAACAAAGGAUUUAUGACUAGAAUUGUGUGACUAGAGUGCUAAAUAUGUCUGUCUUAGCUUCCUGUAAUGGACAGUUAUCAUUACAAUUUGAUUAUGCUCUGUUUCUCCUAAUUAGAGCUGACUGGAUGUGAUGAUGAGAACAUGACUGUUUUUUACCUUACGGUAAAUCAGUUAUGGAUUUAUUAUCUUCUUGAUCAUGCCAUUUCCCACUGUUAGUCUGUGUCUGUGUGCAUUUACUUGAUGAGUGAAUCUACUGGAGACACUGUGUCUCUUCACUUGCUCAAUAAUUAAACUGAACUGAAAGUUG